UCCGGUAAUCGGUAGUAUAGUGGUUAGUAUCCGCGUCUCUUACAUGCGAGAGCCGGGUUCAAUUCCCGGCCGUGGAG